rnacentral:rRNA from 1 species
GACGAGCGCUGGCGGCGUGCCUAAUACAUGCAAGUUGAGCGAUGAAGAUUGGUGCUUGCACCAAUUUGCAGAGCAGCGAACGGGUGAGUAACGCGUGGGGAAUCUGCCUUUGAGCGGGGGACAACAUUUGGAAACGAAUGCUAAUACCGCAUAACAACUUUAAACAUAAGUUUUAAGUUUGAAAGAUGCAAUUGCAUCACUCAAAGAUGAUCCCGCGUUGUAUUAGCUAGUUGGUGAGGUAAAGGCUCACCAAGGCGAUGAUACAUAGCCGACCUGAGAGGGUGAUCGGCCACAUUGGGACUGAGACACGGCCCAAACUCCUACGGGAGGCAGCAGUAGGGAAUCUUCGGCAAUGGACGAAAGUCUGACCGAGCAACGCCGCGUGAGUGAAGAAGGUUUUCGGAUCGUAAAACUCUGUUGGUAGAGAAGAACGUUGGUGAGAGUGGAAAGCUCAUCAAGUGACGGUAACUACCCAGAAAGGGACGGCUAACUACGUG